rnacentral:rRNA from 1 species
GACGUAGGGUGCGAGCGUUGUCCGGAUUUAUUGGGCGUAAAGAGCUCGUAGGCGGCUCGUCGCGUCGACCGUGAAAACCCGCGGCUUAACUGCGGGCUUGCGGUUGAUACGGGCGGGCUAGAGUUCGGUAGGGGAGACUGGAAUUCCUGGUGUAGCGGUGAAAUGCGCAGAUAUCAGGAAGAACACCCGUGGCGAAGGCGGUUCUCUGGGACGGUACUGACGCUGAGACGCGAAAGCGUGGGGAGCGAACAGG